rnacentral:rRNA from 1 species
UACGAGGGGGGCAAGCGUUGUUCGGAAUUAUUGGGCGUAAAGGGUGCGUAGGCGGUCUGAUAAGUCAUCUGUGAAAUCUAUGGGCUCAACCCAUAGUCUGCAGGCGAAACUGUCGGGCUUGAGUAUGGGAGAGGUGAGUGGAAUUUCCGGUGUAGCGGCGAAAUGCGUAGAUAUCGGAAGGAACACCUGUGGCGAAAGCGGCUCACUGGACCAUUACUGACGCUGAUGCACGAAAGCUAGGGGAGCAAACAGG